UACGUAGGGGGGCAAGCGUUGUCCGGAUUUAUUGGGCGUAAAGCGCUCGCAGGCGGUCCGAUGCGUCGUGCGUGAAAGACCCCGGCUCAACUGGGGAGGGUCGUGCGAUACGGUCGGACUCGAGGCCAGUAGGGGGACGCGGAAUUCCGGGUGUAGUGGUGGAAUGCGUAGAGAUCCGGAGGAACACCAGCGGCGAAGGCGGCAUUCUGGACCAAUAUUGACGCUGAGGAGCGAAAGCCAGGGGAGCAAACGGG
rnacentral:rRNA from 1 species